rnacentral:rRNA from 1 species
UACGGGGGGGGCAAGCGUUGUUCGGAAUUACUGGGCGUAAAGGGCUCGUAGGCGGCCAACUAAGUCAGACGUGAAAUCCCCAGGCUCAACCUGGGAACUGCGUCUGAUACUGGAUGGCUUGAAUCCGGGAGAGGGAUGCAGAAUUCCAGGUGUAGCGGUGAAAUGCGUAGAUAUCUGGAGGAAUACCGGUGGCGAAGGCGGCCCCCUGGUUGGAUACUGACGCUGAUACGCGAAAGCAUGGGGAGCGAACAGG